AAGUUCAAAGAAAAAAAAAACCUUUUUGAAAGAUUUAUUUCAUUAAGAGUACUACUAAUAAGUAUCAUAAUCAGCUUAAUUUUCUCUUUGACAAUUCUAUUUUAUGUCGCAUAGAAAAAAUAAGACAAUACUUGUUUAUUUUCAUAGAAUAGUCAUAUAGAAUAGUAUAAACAAAAAAAUUGCAUCAAACCAAAAAACUUCAAAGUAACUUAGGUACUUAUUAUUACUAUAAAGCACUUAUUGAACUUGUUAUUCUUCUUAGCUUUGUAAACUAAACGAAUCAUCACAUCUCUUAAUGCAUAACUUCAACUUUUCCGGGUUAUAAUCAUAAAGUAGAUUGCAUCUAACAUAACAUUUAUUCAUAUCAUUGCAUAUCUUUUUGCAUCCCCUCAACAAAUGUUCCUCCGAUUGAUAGAGUUUGUCGCAUUGUUUAUUACAUGCUUUCAAAUCAAAUGAAAUUGUUGUUGAUGGAGGCGGCGGUGAUCUAGACUGUUUGAGAGCAUCAUGGGAUUCAACAAUGGAAAAACAAAUAAACACUCCAACCACCAAUAUUACUAUUGUAUGUGUUACACCUUUUCUAGCCAUAGUAGAUCUUUCUCUUGUAUUGUAAUGUCAAAUAAUUUACAACUGACUAGAUUUUAUACAAGUUUAAAAUCUUGGUUAAUAUUAUUGUGCCAGAUGUUCGUGAAAUAGAAUCUUUCUCGCUUAUUAAAUCA
rnacentral:lncRNA from 1 species